CCAAAUAUUAUAACUCUUAUAAAUCAUAAUAAAAUAAAACAAUUAAGUAACAACCCUCCUAUCAAUAAUUAAAUUAAAAGUACUGUAAAGGAAAAUUUAAUGAUAUAAAGUAAAGCUUAAACCUUGUACCUUGUGCAUUAUGGUUUUACAAGAUAUAUAUUAAUUAUAUAAAUCCCGAAUUCUAUGCGAGCUGUCUAUAUAUUGCUAAGAGCUCACUAUUAGUUGUGGCACCAACUUUAGAAAAUAUAUUUACAGGGGCUACAUACCACACGCGCUAGAAAAUUGCUGGUUCUCAAAUAACUUUAUUAAUUAAAACAUGUAAUAAUUUACAAUGUAAUACUACAGAGGAUAAGCCCUGCAGCUGAAGCUAAAAUAAUUGUCAUGUUAGUAAAUAGGCCUAAAAUCAGCCAUUAUCAAUACCUUACCGUAAGUUAAAUAAAAUAAAUAUUAACUCUGCUAAAUAAAUUUGAGAUUUGGGAAAAUCAAAACCUCCUAAAAUAUUAUGUAAAAAUAAGUAUUAAGACAAAUAAUCAUUAAUAACAAACACUUAUGAAGGAACUCGGCAAAUCUUAUUUCAAGAAGUAAUUCCUGCCCAGUGACUUACGUUUAACGGCCGCGGUAUCCUAACCGUGCAAAGGUAGCAUAAUCACUUGCCCAUUAAUUGUGGGCUAGAAUGAAAGGACUAACGAAAUAAAGACUGUCUCUAUAAGCCCUAUAAAAAUUAAUCUCUAACUGAAGAGUGUUAGAUAUAUUCGAAGGACAAGCAAACCCUAUAGAGCUUUAUUUUAAUAAAUACCAAAAUUUUACUAAAAUUCGGUUGGGGCGACCUGGGAAGCAAUUAAUCAUCCCAUAAMAAUAGAUAAUAAAUCUUAUACCUGACCCUUAACAAAGAUCAUCAGAACAAGCUACCUUAGGGAUAACAGGCUAAUCCCUCUAAAGAGUCCUUAUCAAUAGUGGGGGUUGGCACCUCGAUGUUGGCUUAGGAAAUCUAUAGGGCGCAAAAGUCUUAUAAAGAUGGUUUGUUCAACCAAUAAUAUCCUACAUGACCUGAGUUCAGACCGGCGCAAGCCAGGUUAGUUUCUAUCCUCGAUAAAAAACACCUAUUUAUAGUACGAAAGGACCUAAAUAAGGAUAAUAAUUAUACUUAGAGAAUACACAUAAUGUAAAUUUUAAUACGCAACACAC
rnacentral:rRNA from 1 species